UGGGCUCAGCCGCCGCCGCCGCCACCACCACCACCGCCACCGCCACCGCCACCACCGCGGGAGCCGGAGCUGCCCGGCGCAGCGGCGUCCGCGCCAGACUGGAGCGGGAGGGUGGCCGAGCGCAGUUGCUGGGAAUUUGUCAGCCCGGAGGGGGAGCGAUCCGGAGAGAGACCCCGCGAGCUGGGGAGCGGUGGAGAGCGCGGGCGCCGGAGCGAGCCGAGCCAGCCCCGAAAUAGAUCUAGAAAGCCAGGUUCCUGGAGGAAAUGGGACUGUGACCGAACCGGGGAGCAAGAGGGGAAGGAAGCGCCGGGCUUGCUGAUGUCAGAGGAGCCCGGAAAGUCGCGCUGGAAAAAUCCUAAGACAGCCGGGGCUCUGCUGCUUCCCCAGGAGAGACACGGCCAGCCACCCCCACACGUCCCCUCGGCGCCUCCGGGUUCCCCCCCGCGAGCCGGCGACAGCGCGCGGCGGGGCUGCUGCGGGGCGACGGGGGACUGAGGGGCGCGCGGACCGGAGACCGAGGGGCCACUUCAGGAAUACAGAUAAGUGGCUGGCGGCUGGACGUGGAUUUUAAUGAAUUUGGACUCCAUGUGGAUUUGGUCGUCCCCGUGAUUGCGAGCUGCGGGCAGCGAGAGGGGCAGCGCGCCGCCCUCGGCAGCCGGCGGCCGAGGCGGACCGGCCGGGAGCGGAAGGACAGACCGACGUCGGCGAGCUGGAACCAUGUGAGGGCCAGCCCAGGAAGGUGGAGUAGAUGAGAACUCCGAGGAUCUGUGUCCUCCUCCCCUCCACCCCACUCAGAAUGGAAGAGAGGAGGCCCUGGCCACGCGCUGCAGAGGUUGACAGCUGGUCUGUGGUCCUGCUCUCCAUGGUCUGGGUGCUGCUGGCUCCCGGGGCGGCCGGCAUGCCUCAGUUCAGCACCUUCCACUCGGAGAACCGGGACUGGACCUUCAACCACCUGACCGUGCACCGAGGCACGGGGGCAGUAUACGUGGGGGCCAUCAAUCGGGUGUACAAGCUGACGGGCAACCUGACCAUCCAGGUGGCUCACAAGACGGGGCCGGAAGAGGACAACAAGUCCUGUUACCCCCCGCUCAUCGUGCAGCCCUGCGGCGAGGUGCUGACCCUCACCAACAACGUCAACAAGCUGCUCAUCAUCGACUACUCGGAGAACCGCCUGCUGGCCUGCGGGAGCCUCUACCAGGGGGUGUGCAAGCUGCUGCGGCUGGACGACUUGUUCAUCCUGGUGGAGCCGUCACACAAGAAGGAGCACUACCUGUCCAGCGUCAACAAGACCGGCACGAUGUACGGCGUGAUCGUGCGCUCGGACGGCGAGGACGGCAAGCUGUUCAUCGGCACUGCCGUGGACGGCAAGCAGGAUUACUUCCCGACCCUGUCCAGCCGGAAGCUGCCCCGCGACCCCGAGUCCUCCGCCAUGCUCGACUACGAGCUGCACAGCGACUUCGUCUCCUCCCUCAUCAAGAUCCCCUCCGACACCCUGGCCCUGGUCGCCCACUUCGACAUCUUCUACAUCUACGGCUUCGCCAGCGGGGGCUUCGUCUACUUCCUGACGGUGCAGCCCGAGACCCCCGAGGGCGUGGCCAUCAACUCGGCGGGGGACCUGUUCUACACGUCCCGCAUCGUUCGCCUCUGCAAGGACGAUCCCAAGUUCCACUCCUACGUGUCCUUGCCCUUCGGCUGCACUCGGGCUGGCGUGGAGUACCGCCUCCUGCAGGCCGCUUACCUCGCCAAACCCGGGGACUCCCUGGCCCAGGCCUUCAAUAUCAGCGGCCAGGAUGAUGUGCUCUUUGCUCUCUUCUCCAAAGGGCAGAAGCAGUACCACCACCCGCCAGACGACUCUGCCCUCUGUGCCUUCCCCAUUCGGGCCAUCAACCUGCAGAUCAAGGAGCGCCUGCAGUCCUGCUACCAGGGGGAGGGCAACCUGGAGCUCAACUGGCUCCUGGGGAAGGACGUCCAGUGCACCAAGGCGCCGGUCCCCAUCGACGACAACUUCUGUGGACUGGACAUCAACCAGCCACUGGGAGGCUCGACUCCAGUGGAGGGCCUGACCCUGUAUACCACCAGCCGGGACCGCAUGACCUCCGUGGCCUCCUACGUUUACAAUGGCUACAGCGUGGUUUUUGUGGGGACGAAGAGCGGCAAGCUGAAAAAGAUUCGAGCUGAUGGUCCCCCCCAUGGAGGGGUCCAGUACGAGAUGGUCUCUGUGCUCAAAGAUGGGAGCCCCAUCCUCCGGGACAUGGCCUUCUCCAUUGAUGAGCGCUACCUGUACAUCAUGUCUGAGAGACAGGCUUCAAUCAAACGCCGCGAGUCUGAUUCGUUUUGUUGUUUUGAUCAACACAAAAGAUGGCAACACCAGAGGAGCCGUCGUGAGGAGUUAUUUCCAUCCACUGAUGAGCAGGACAGUUGCUGUGAUGUGAAGAUACAGCGUCGGAGGUGCCAAGAGAUGCACCAAGCAUCAGCGAAGGGGGAGGGCGGGGAGGGGAAGUCAGCGAACCUUUCCGAGGAGCACGAUCUGACGUUCUGAGGUGCACAGCCCAUUCUCCACGUUCCACCCCAGGAGAGGGCGGGAGGUGGGUGCUGCCUGUUAGGCCCACUCGAUGAGGCUCCUUCCUCUGUGGCCCUGGGUUCUGGGUGCCCGUGUAGGAUGGGGGAGGAGCUGGGCCCCACUCCCGCUGGCUGCUCGUACCCAGGGCUCAGGCCCUUUACACAGGAGAGGUCCCAUGAACACAGGGUUCCCGUGAGAUGGGAAGCUGACCACGGGUCGCUUUCUCCACACACUGGCCUCUGCGCUCCUCAGCCAGAGGUGACCAGCUGUGCUGGCCUACCGAAACACAGGGGGCUCUUCCUCUGGCCAGCCACCCACACAUGGCUGCCCGUCAGACAACGGGUCUCUCGGGAGCUGGUCCUAGGGACGUUUAGAACCCAACUGGGAGCUGCCAGGGAGGUGUGUGGGAAGGGUGGUGGAGGGAUGGCAGGGGGUGACAGGAGAGUGACAGGGGAGUGGUAAGUUAGGGUUCUUAAUCCCUGGAGUUUCCCCCGUAUGUCUGAGUACAGGCCAACUGGAGCCUCAGUUUCCCUACCGAGAAAAUGUCUUUGAAUGUCUCCUGCGGCCGUGACAUUUAGCGCCUCCUUUCUGGCCAUGAGCCUGUGCAGGACAGAGGCUGACCUGGGUCUGGGAGUGUGUGUGCUUAUGAGAACAGCGUACGUGACAUGCGUCAGAUGAGAGCAGGCAUUCCUGUGUGUUCCAGGAGUGCGGAAGGGUAUCCACACUACACGGCUCUUUCAGACCACGGGUCAGGGCUGUGCUCACUGGGGGGAGAGCAGGGCUGUGCUCCUUCUCCUCAGGCUUGCUUGGCUUUUGGAGUCCCACUUGGCUGCACUUUCCAAGCUGGCCCUUUUAUCUUUCCGUAGCCUGCCCAGCUCUGGGACCCCACAUCAGGCACCAUCCCCAGUUCAUAGUGUGUGUGCCCCACAGUUAAAUUCCCUUUGCCACUCUGCACAGAGCAACCCUCCUCACUCCCCCUCCUGGUUAUUCCCACCCCCCUCUUCUGCAGACAGGUUGGGGUUUGAAAUUUGCACCAGGUGGAGGGAGAACUGGCUGUGUCAUCAGCUGUUGGGGGCUUAGCAAACGGUCUGGGUUCAGCCUCUGUCCCUCAAGUAAUGUUUAAUGAGAAGAGGGAAAUGGGCAGAGAUGAGAGUCAGGCCAGAGGAAGAUUGGAAAGAGAAAAAUGAACAGAGCUGAGAACAAUGUCUUAGUUAACCACUCAGCUUCCAAGUAAUUUAUCAACCAACCUUUGAGGACCUAUUGUGAGCAUAGAGCCCGUUCUGACAAAAUCACACAUACGCCAGGGAAACAGUAUUGUGAUACAGUGUGCAGAGCGCUGGGAAUGCAGGAGAGGGUGCUACCCAACAGUCUGUGAGUCAAGGAAGGCUUCCUGGAGGAGGUGUUGCUCUAGGUGACUCAUGAAAGGGGAGGAGCUCACCAAGUGGAUCAGAAGGCAAAGGAGUAUUUCUCAAGUGAAGGAAAGCACAGAGGCAUGAAAGAGUUCAGCAUAUUCAGGGAAUAGUCCCCCAGAUUUGAUAUUGUUGGAGUUGAAGGCAAGGGUUAAGAGGUAUCAGUCCUCGAAGACCAUCUAUAGCUCACAGGAAGCGAGAGGACUUCAGGUAGACUUAAUCCACCUGCCCUCAUCUCCACCCAAGAGAAGGUGCUUCAGGCUCCCUCAGCCCCUGCUACUGCCUCACAAAACUUGGGAGAAAACGAUCGUGCCCCAAGCUCCCAGUGUUUCCUCUUUGCUGACAGCAGCUGCCCCCUUCCCCCCCCCCCCCCCCCGCACCCUGCGCGCCAGGGAUCUGAGAGGCACCUUCAAGAGAAAGGAUGGCAGGGCGGGUCACAGCCCACCACCAAAGCCCUUUGUGAUCAUGCCAAUCCACACUGCCACUCAGGACGGCCGCUUCUCUAUACGGGGAGGAAAACCUCUGAUCAUCUCAGGUUCAGGGAAAGACAAAGAGAGAGACCGCGCUGCUUCAUUCAUUCAUUAGGUCUUUCCAACAACAUGUCUUGGUAGCAGAGACCUUUCCUCUCUGGGCCCCUUCUGUCUCCCUAAGAGAUACUGCAGUGUUUGGCCCUUACUAGGGGCUUAAUAAACACUUGUUGAAAGUUAGGAAGAGAGGGCGGGGAAGACAGGAGACAAGAAAAGAGAGAGCGCAUGGAAAGGAGACACUGUAGGAUAGUGUAAGGAGCUCAUCUUUGGGGGCAGAUCGGCCUGUGUUCAAAUCUUGGCUCUACCAUUCUUCAGCAGAGCCUGGCUUGUCCUCUCUAAGCCUUAGUUUUCUCUUCUGUAAAGUGGGGAAAACCAUAAUACCUGCCUUCUAAGAUCGCUGAGCUGAAAUGACGGAGCCCUGCAAAGUGGCUGGGACAGAGCAGGAGCCAAACCCUGGAAAUAGCUCCUUCUCUCGGGUUCACUCCCGAGCUCCCUGGUUCACUGCCACUGAGCCCCCCAUAACUAACAUGUUGCUCAUUUUUCAUCCUUAAGUCAUCUGCCAGUUGCAUCUAUUUCUAGCCUCUGUCUUAUGGGACAAGAAUAAGGCAGGGAAACAGAUAACUGCAGAGCCUCAUUUGCCAAUUGUCAGCUCCUGUCAUCCGCCCAGCUCUCUGCUGGCUUCUCCCUGGGUGCCUGGAAAAAUCACCGUGACCUUUUAUUUACUGGUUGAUGUAGUCAGCCCAGGUCUCUCUGCCUCCCCGCCCCCCACCUCCAGCCCACCCUCCACACUCCCACCCCUCCACCAGCCCAGUGCAGGCUUCUUGCCUCCCGUGCCCCUCAUCCCACCGCGGGGUGGGCACGCUCUGCCGGUCCCCUGGAGUCUCCCUGUCUUCAUGAUCAGAUUCUUAAAAACCUGCGGGCACAGACAAGAGGAAGAAGGAGAAUCUUCCCGGUGCUGGCACUAGGGAGGAUUUUUGCCUUUGAUCCUCUUCUGUAGGGCCUCCUCUUCGGUCCCAUUUCACCAAGGAGCCAAAAGGAGGUCGGUUUAGGUGAGCCAGUGACCCACCCCAGGCAAGACUCAGUGAGUCGCAGCAUUGCCUGGAAGAGUGGACGUUUCUCCCAGGCCCCAACCCAGAUUUUACCCUGUGAGCUUUACCGUGCAUCUCCUCUUCCAUCCCCUUCCCCCAAACCCCGCCCCUCCUUGCACCUCUUCUGGCUCCCAGCCUGCUCUAGCCAGAGGCUCUUUCUGCUUUUCUUCCUCUUCCUCCCUUGGCCCAGCCGUGCUGUCACCUGUGAUCCCCUGAGCCAAUUGGGCUGAGGUGUGCAGCCUCGGGGAUAUGGGGGUGGCCGUUGAGGGUGGUGACAAGGAGACCAACGUGGCUAACAAGUGGGUGCUGACAAAAAGACAUUCCACAGAGGCCCCGGGAGGCCAGGAAUGAGCCAGGCAGACCCAAAGUGCCCAUGCUUUGCUUAGCUGCAGGAGUUAACUAUGCAUACAGUGGGGGGGGGGGGGGGGGGGGCAGUGCACACGCACGUGUCUGUAUAUCAAAAACACCCAAAUUGGCUUCCCAAAAAAGUUACCCUAGGUAGAGUAUGGCUUUCUUGCUCCAUUGCCCUCAGGCCAUCUGCCUUGGACGUCCCAGAGGCUUCCUGGCCCAUCUCGGGGCCUGGCCGGCCGCACAGCUCCCUCAAAUUUCAGGGAAAGGAAUUUUAAAAGCCUCUUGUGCAAGUCAGCUCCCUGCUUUCCAAGCUCUCUUCUUGGCCCCCGCUGUCAGCACCAAUUUUCUGCAGGGAGUGAUUUAACCUUCAUUUAUUCAUUAAUUCUUUUUUCCCCUUAACUUCAUUAGGUAAGAUUUAUAAAGGUGCUGAAUUGGAAAGGUCACCUGUCCCUGGGCCCAGGACACAGUGUGCCUGCAUCCCUUGUCAUGAGCUUCCUUCCAGGAGCACUCUGGAGGGAUUAAACUGGUGACGUCAGAACACUGAGCGCAGGACGUGACACACAGCAAACACUGAAGAAACAGUAGCUUGUUAAGAAGAUCUUGCAUCGUCUCCGCCCCACCCUGGCAGCUCUAGCUCACUAACCGCUAGAGACCGGCUCGCAGGGAGUCGGAUUGCUCCAAGAAAGGCGGCCCACAUAGACCAUGACCGAUCCUAUCUCCAGAACCACAGGAAAAGCCUAAGCUCCUAGAGGAGCCAGAAAAAAACCAAGCCACCACUCGAUUCAGGAUUGCUUCCCGAGGCCCAGCAGAUUUCUGCAGGAAGCCAGGCUAAGCUGGCACCCGGCUCUCUGCCGUGGCCUGGCCACGCUCACCACCCGGCCCAUCCCGCGGUGGUCUGUAGUCCCGGGCCUCUCCCAAGCCUCUGAGGCCUGCUGGGCUCAGCCUUCAGCCAUCCCAUCUCAAGGAGCUCUCUCUCUCAUUAACAGCCUCCCUAGAUGAAGGAAAAGCAGACUCAAGGCUCGAAAACCAUGCCGGUAUUUUGAAUUUGUAGAAAGCUAAGAGUGUCCGCUCGCUGCCACGUCCCUGUGUCCUUGCUCCUGUGCCCCCAGCAGAACUCCGAGCCAUCCCAGUUCACUCCAGUCAGAAUGAAUUCAGCUCUCUGAGCUUCUUUAACUUCGUGGUAAAAACGACAGUAAAUACCCGGGGUCUCCCGCAUCAGGCUCUAAGCUUCUGGGAGACUGGAUGCAGGUCAGAGGUACCCUGGCCCCUCCUGGCACCGACCGUACACUCAAUCAGUGUUUGAGAAAAUGCCUUUAAUAGGAAAGCACGGAGGAAAGCGGGCAGGCAGACCUACUCUGUGGGCCAAGCUAAGAAUUACUGGGUUUGACUGUGAUCACAGAGGAUGACAAGAAUUUAUUUUAUUCUACCUAAUGUUCUUAGAGUUAGGGCCUCUGGAAUGCAACAUGCAAAUUUAUGCUCAGAGUACAAAUUGGAGCAUGCCCAGAUUAAUGGAGAAAAUUCUAGCCACCUCGCUUUUUCCAGAAUCCCCUUUCCCUCACCUGGGGUCCCCUGUUUGUUGGCCAUGCACCGAGAAGUAAUUUGCAAUAGAGGAAGGAACACGGGCUGGGAAAAUCUGCCCAGUGCCUCCUCUGUGGUAGGUGGAGUGAAGAGCAACGCUGAGCACUGGACAGCAAUCCCCCCCCUCCCCCGCCCACCCCGAGGAGCUCAGGGACUUCUGAACAGUAGCCACGGGAGACUUAAACUGCCAGUCUGGUCCCAGGGCGGUCCUCCUUGGUAUGCAGAUCACUUCACAUGUAUGAUAUUAGUUUGUUCUGUCCUCACGCUCCCGGAUUUAAUGAGAUUCUUUGGGCAUUGUUAAUAAACAAUGCUUGACCUUUUUAGAAUGGCAACAUUGUAUCGUUUUAUUUCGUGAAAUAGGGUCCUACACAACACACCAUUUGGUAUCAAUAUUGUUCCAUUUCAGAUGGAUUUAAUUCUAAAAAUGAGUUCUGUGAGUCUCUCAGUACCCACUGAGCUCACUGGAGAUACUGAUCACUGAAUAGCCCCGGUAGGAAGUGACCAGUAGUCAUACCUGGACUCCAAGGGCAUUCCUCAUUAGCGGAGUCCUUCCCUGGUUCUCCAGCUGUGGCUUCUAGCAUGGCCACCGUCCGUGGCAUCUAAGGACACUAGCUUGUAGCUCUGUCUUGGCCAGCCUGUGGACAACCUCCUCUCCCUGUGAUUCAAGCUAAAUCAGUACUGGGAUUUGUAGGGAAGAAAGACGGACUCACAUCACCAUCUUCCGUUGGGCUUCCCUGAAGCAUAAGUUAUCAGUCAGUGAUAGGUCUGGUUCCAUUUUGCACGAAGUCCAGUUGCUUUACCGGUGGCCCUAGACUAACAUCUAGUGGCCAUGGGCUAAUGGUGGUAGGUGGCAGUACGGGCCAUGAAGCAGGACACACAACUUAGUCUUUAAGUAUUCUCUGUCUCUAGGGUCAGCUGGACCGAAUAGAUACUGCCCUGUCAUUCCUGGAACUCUCAGCAUAGCUGCCCUAAGGGACACAUCUCGCUUCAGUGACAGAACAAAGGUGACUGACGUUUCCUGAGUCCAACGACCAGCCUCCUCCUUCUCAAACCAGAUUACAAGCCCCUCCUACCUCAGGGACUGCCUGUGGCCCAGGGGUCUCGCUUUCCUGCAUCCUAAGGCUACAGUCUUAACAUAUAAAAUUACUUUAAACAUAAACUAUGACAGAUAACCAUUAGAGGAGAGUCAUCCUUUUACAUUGUAAAAAUAGAGUUGGGAAUUGUCACUUUUAAGAGGUAAGAGAGAGACAUAUGGGCAGAAUACCAAGAGGCUCUCAUUUGCCUCUUAACAUUAAAUCUAAAUCAUAAAACCAUAGACAAGAGACUCUUACAUUUGGAUCUUAUUUUGUUUUCCUUUGUUCGUGAGAAACAUAUGGAGGGCGCAAAACGCACACACUCGAAACACGUAUCCUUUCCCUGCGCUUUGGUUUCCCCAAUGGUAAAAACGAAUGAAGACUCUAACCGGCUGGCCUCUGAGUCUAUAACUUUGGGACUGACCUGGAUUCAGUGAGCUUUGCGGGGUGAACUAUUGGACAGUCGCCGCUUUGACACUUGCUUAGGUGUGGGUAUAUGAAGCUCUCUUCCUUCACCUUUUUGGCUUUGAGUUAAGAAAUUUAAGAAGUCACUAAUAUAUGCUACAACACAGAUGAACCUUGCAAACAUGAUGCUUAGUGAAAGAAGCCAGCCACAAAAGACCACAUUCCAUAUGCUUCUAUUUAUGUGAAUUGUCCAGAAUAGGCAAAUGCAUAUAGACAGAAAGUUGGUUGCCUAGAGCUGGAACAGAGGCAGUUGUCCCGGGCUGGAAGAGGGGGGCGGGGGGGUGACUACUAAUGGGUACAGGGAUUCUUUUGGGGGGUGAUGAAAUUGUUCUGAAAUUGAUGUGGUGAUGGUUGUACGAUUCUGUGAAUCUACUAAAAACCAUUGAAGGGUACACCUCAAGUGGGUGAAGUUUAUGAAAUUAUGAAUUAUAAUUUUGUGAAUUAUAUCACGAUAGAGCUGUUAUUUUAAAAAAAAGUAGUAGGAAGGUGGGGCCAUAAUCGUGUGGCUACAACCUCACCUUCCCCUGGUAACCACCACCCAGACGGGCGGGCAUGGGCAGCCCACCCCAGAUGAUGGCAGGGGUAGCAUCCAAGAGGCCUGCCAUCUUCCUUCUCAUUUUCUUGUCCUUUUCCUGUCUUCUCCCUGCUCUGCUCCUGCCUCAGUUUCCUACUCUUCCUAUUCCUUCUAUCUCCCUUCUCCUUUAUCCUUCUCUCUCUGCUGAUCCCACCAGCCAAUUGGCUCUCCUUGACCCCAGGAGGCUGAAAAGGGGAGGGGACAAGAGAUAACAGUGAAAAUUAAUCAUAACUGUAAUAAUAAAUUAUAUUAUUAUAAGUUAUUAUUAGAGCUGUCUAGGACUUAAUUUAAUCUCCACAACAUCCUUAUUAGGGGGAUAAUUAUCUGCAUUUUAUAGAUGAAGAAACUGCGAUCAAACAAGCAGAGUAACAUGCCCAAGCUUGUCAGGAGCGAAACCAGAAUUCAAGCCCAGGUCUGUCUGGCCUCAGAGUCUAUUCUUUGCAGCAUGAUAAGACCUCAGAUAUGAAGUUGGGCCUGGUUAUUUAUUGAUGAAUUACAAUAAAAGUAAUUUGAUGGGGUUCAGAACUGCAGUAUCUAAGAUCUCAUCUGUUGGUCUGAUAUUUAUGGCCAUUAAUGGAUGAUAUCUGUGUGGCUCUUCCAUUCAUUAUGGUUUUCAUUAAGACUCUAAUCCUGUUUAGAAGUCUGUUUGUCAUUUUUAACUCCUCUGUUUAAUCUUGGGCAGCCCUAAUCCUUCUUCACGACAAACCCGAAGGAGACAGCUCCUGAUGGCUCUUCCUGCCCACAGUUGCACGCGGGCAGGGGUGGAGGGGGGCAGUGAGUGUGGUAGGAACGUCUGUGUGUUACGAGUGUGUGUGACAGGAAUGUGUGUAUGGAAUGUCAGCGUUAACGUGUGUGCAGUGUGUGUGAGGUGUCAGGGUGUUGCUGUGGAAGGUGAGUGUGUGGUAUGACGUGUGUUUGUGUUCCCUUGUGUGUUUGCGUAAGAACACGAGUUUGUGGGGGGGGUGUGUGUGUGUGUGUGUGAGAUGGUAUUCUUUUUUCAGAAGCACAAGAAUCCUUGAGUUGAGGUCCGGCCGUUUGCUCCCAAGCACAGGGACCACCUGCCCCUUCCCUUUCAGUGUGUAGAAAUCCUGCCAAGGGGAGGGGUUAUUGGGAAUCCUGGAAGGGAGAAGGGGCCUGUCCAUGAGGCAGUCUUGGAAGCCAGAGGGACUCCUGUCACUCAUCUGGACCUUGAGCCUCUCCUUAGAGCUCCCCCGCAGUGGGAGGGGAGCUCUCCCACCCGGCAUUGUUGGUUUAUAGGAAACUUCUUCCAUUGGCCUAUGGUUCCUUGAUGGAGGCCUAGAACGAUGUUAUUUAAAAUGUAUACUCCUGGUGGAACUAGUAAGAAAAGAAAUCUGAAUGGGGAUGUCCUUCUUGUGUCCUUUGCUAUCCCCAUAACACACCCCGAAGCUCAUUCUCUCUGCUUUGGCUUGUGAUGUUUUCCUGCCCAGGACUUUUCACCCUGCCUUCAAGUCCCACCCUUUCCAUGGAGACUUCCCUGCUCCUUAGCCCACACUGGACUCCAGCUUUCUUUGUGCCUCCCACUGACCCUCCCACCACACACAGGGCUUAUAAGAGGUACAAUGUUUAGCCCUUAAAAAUAUUCUAUCUUUGGCUCAGCUAGGCUUGGACUCCAGGAGACCCAUACCACACAUUUCGACUCUCUGUUCCCCUAGAGACUUUGGGCAUCGGGGCCGCCAGAUAUGAUGGUUCAGGUUGUGUACUGAACAGAGCGUCUGGCUGAGGACGCAAGUAGGGGCUGAAACAGAGUCCUCACCCAUCUCACCAACCAUGCACCUAGAGGGUCACCUUUUUCCAAUUGCACACAAGUGCUGUAACGGUUAGAGGUGACCCAGAAUGGGAGUUUCUGAGAGAGUUCAAUCCUGUUGUCUCAAGACCUCCAGUAGCAGCCAGAAAAAUGUUUAAUGAGGGCACAGAGAGGGCUGCCAUCCCUUCCUGGCCUCACGUCCUCUUCUGGAAGGCCUUUACCCCCUCUCUGAUUAAUCCCAUCAUGUUCUGAUCACCACUUAACUCCGCUUGCCCUUGCCCCGCUCCAGCUUAAUUUUUCCUUCUCAGCGUCAGCCUUUUAAGUAUCCUAAAUCUUGUUUUCACAUCUUUGUUAUCUCCUUCCAAUGAGUUAGCAAGCUCUAGGAGGGCAGAGAGCGUGUUUCCAUUUCCUUUGCUCUUGGGCACCCCCGUGACAUCCAUCCGAGCACUCCACCCCCAGUGGGGGCCAAGUCAGUGUUGAUACAACUGAGCCACCCACUGAAGGAGAAACCAAAGCUCUGUGCUCAGAGCCAGGGCAUUGACACCACUCCCCAAAAACCAGCUCAGCCAAGCAUCUCAGGAGACAGCAAACACAUCCAGUCAGCCUCCCUCCAGGCUGUGGACCUAGGUUAACCCUGAAAGGUCUGUAAGGAUUGGAAAGUUCUAGAAAAGCUCAGCCCAUCUCAUGGUGUCUCUCUAGGGUGAUCCGAAGUGCUGGACAGGGAAUUUAAGAAGUGGUCCCAGCCCUUCACCAGAUUAGCCUUUGGUUAUCACUCAGUGAGUGAUAGGUUAGAUUUCUGAUGACAGUGGCUUUGCAGCGGACUAAAGCUGCACUGUCUGGACCUGUGUUUGGUUUGGAUGACCGGCAGGCCCCCCGUGAAGGUGGAGCAUCCCAGGAAACGGCCCUUAGCUGGGUCUGUGACAUUAUGGCUUGACUGUUUCCCCGGCAGAACGAUGGAUAAGGCAUGCCCAGCAGCAGGAGAAGUAUCUCCUGCCUUGCCUUCCUGAAGACCUCCAACCCCGAGCCCUUGGCUGGCCCCCUUCACUUCCAUCCCCACCUUUCAGCAUCAAUGCCCCCCGAGCCUCCUCAACACACUCUCACACUCCAAAAUAAAGCAUUCAGGCCAUCGCUAAAUAGCAGUAUUGAUGCUCCAUUCCCACAUGCCCUGAAAUGAUAAUGUAUCACCCAUGGUGCGCAUCCAGACGGAGCCAGAUUACGCUCAGGUGGUUAAAAGUCCAGGUCUAAUUAGAGUUCCAGGGAAUCAAGCCAUUGUAUUAUUAAUGAUUCUCCAGCAAUGUUCUGAUUAAAACAGUAAUUUUAAUAAGCACAGGCUCGAUGCUAAGUGUUCACUGAGCACCUAAUUACAUCAGUUAUAACUCCAAAAUUAUUUAAAAUUCCCCUUUUUUUUCCAGCAGACCUGGCAUGCACCAAAUAAAAUAGAGACUCAGGCAACUUGGUGAUUAUUUGCUCUAAUUAAUUUCCUAAGCACCUAUUAAAAAAAAAAGGAAAAGAAUCUUUUGUUUCUCUUCCAUUUCCCCAAGUUCCCCUCCACCCCUUUCUAUCCCCAGCAGCUCCAUGACAAUGGUUCCAUCUGAGGCAGCCAUUGAAGGAGGCGAGGAAUAGAAAGCAGUGAGGCAAGUGAAGAUUCGAACAUUCCCCGCCACCGCCGUCCAGGAAGCGGGAGCGGCAGAGCUGUAAUCCCCGCUGAUGGCUCAGGCAGGGCUGGCCCUGCGUGCCAGGGGGGCAGGGGCCCCCAGAGGGCUUCUCACCAGGAACCAGCUCCUCACAACACCCUUGUCUUCAUUAGACCAGCUUGGAAUGUCACAUUUAAUGAUUGUGCUCGCAUCUCCUGAGGCCUCCCACUGGGGCAGUUCUCAAAUUCUUUUGACCCAUGAACCCCUUGAGUUGAAAAAGAGACUGCUGCACCCCCUGUCCACUCCCUGGAAGGACACCAGGGUUUCAGAGAGAACACUCAGCAGAAUCAUUUGAGAGUCGACACCCAGAGUUUUCUUUUUAUUUAAGAUCAUGUUACCAGGAGGUUAUCAAUAUGUCCCCAGAAGUAACACCAGCAAUUGCCCCAGAUGUGUGCAAUCAGCCUGAUCCUGAGCCAUGCAGGGUUGUGGCUCUCCCUUCGUGUGCCCGUCAUGAAAACAUGCAGUUAGGAACGGCGGUCCUUAGCAUUCUCAUGCCCGCCCGUACAUUGGCAGACAGCACCAAAACACUGCUCUAUUUUGUCUCCUCCGGGCCCGUUGCCUCUGUCUCCGGCACCUGCAUAGCUCAUCAGCUCACUCUUGGAUAGUAAUAUGAAGGCCUUUGAGUCUCAAACACAGUCUCCGUUCAGAGUUAUAUUGUCCAGUUCACCAAACCAGAAGUAAAAUUCUGACCUUGACCGAAGCUCAGAUCUCCCCCAUCCCUCAGCCUGGGCCUCCUGCACACUCCCCACCUGGAGCCACAAGGAGUGCUUCUGCUCUUUCUCUCACUUACCUUCCCCCACCCGAGUAUUGCUAUUGAAACCUUCGAGGAAGCAGAGAGGAAGGGUCAUAGAGACCCUUUUGCACUUGAAGUGGACUUGUCACAAGAUAGCCUCCUGCUCUCUGAGCUGGCUAGCACUUCUGCCUCUUAGGGGGCUGGGUCCUUCGUGGGCCCAUGGACACCCCUCUGCUGAGCUGCCAUGGCUCCAGCUCCCAUCCUACAGCUCCCUGCUCUCAGCCCUGAUUUUCCAGCUCUUCUGUCCACAUAGAACCCAACUCCAGGGGUUUGUCUUGGACAGGUCAUAAGAUGCUCCCAGGCCAGCUCUCCUUCCUGGGGUGUCCACAUCUGGAUCUGGUGCAAGAAAGCACUUGCACAUCCUCAGUCUGCCACUGUCACCGGGGUGGGGGCGCUCAGUGACUGCCCAAGGUCCUGACUUCACUCUGCCUCCUCAGAGCUCGCCAGCUGAGUCUCUGCAUUUCCCGCCUUCUGGGUUUUCCUGUCCACUGUGUCCCCUACAGUCCAGGGCGUGCAUCCCAAGCUUUUCAAGUGGUCCUAUUAAAGGGUGGCUGGCUAGGUUACAGCAUUCCAAGGGCUUCCUCCAAACAUCUCACAAAAUCGCCUCCUUUUCUUUCCUUGACCCCUGUAUUUCUUUGAUCUGGGACCAGGACCCAGGAUGAAGGGCAGAAGUAUCUUGAGAAUCUACUCUGAAAAAUUGUGUGGUCGUCGGCCAUCUUCGUGAGCUUGCUGUGUUCAUUUGCUGGAUGCUUUAAUUUUGAUAUCUGAUAGUAUUUACAAAGGUAGAAACUGAGGCUUAGAAAGGUUAAGUGGUUCACUCAGCACAGCUUAGUACAGGGUGAUGCUGAGCCAAGUUCUUCUAACUCAAACAGUCAUGUCCUUUCCAUGACAUCAUGCACCUCUGCUGGGUAAUAAACAGUAAGUGUCUUUAAAAAGAAAAAGAAAAAAACAAAAAACACUUCACAUCACCUAAUGGAUCCCAGCAGAAUGCCAGGGGCAUCAGCCACACCUAGAGAACCUUCACAUAGUUCUUAGUACAUUUACUUAAGAAGCUUAAAAUAAAACCUGGAUCACUGGGCAAGUGUGAUUAGCUUCUCAGCAGGUAUUUAUAGACCUAUUUUGUGUAAGAAAGUAAAGUUGGAGCAUACAGGGAUAUCUCAUACGAAGAAGUAAAAAGCAGAGCCCUAUGGAUACCCUAAAAAGAUAGAGUCCUAAGAAGAUUUUUUUAAAAAGUGCAUUAGAGUCCUGCCAACUGGGCAGGUGGUCAGAUUCUAAAUUCAGAGACAUCAUAGAGCUUGAUCAAGGAAGGCUGCAUGGAAGAGGGGAAGCCCAGGGAUGAGCAGGAGAGGGGAGGACGUUCUGAUGAGCAGGAAUGUGUGAGCAAAGUUAAGGAGGCAGGGCUGUGCAAAGCACGAGAGGCCACUGUGCCAGGAGUGGGGCGUUGACACUGACAGAGGGGGUCUAGAGUGGAAAUGUCAGCCUGGUGGCUAGCAGAAGUUAAAAGGCUCAAAAGUUGGGGGGCAUUUGGACUAUAAACUUCAUCCAAGAGGCAGUUUUUCUUGUUUUUUGAAAAAAUUUUUUACAUUAUUUAGGUUUUUUUAGCCAAGGGCAUCAUUAUAAAACACUGCCUCCUGGAAGCCUUCUGUGAUUUUCCCUUUACUCUUGUAGCUAUACUACAUCUCAGUCAUUCUGCGCCAAUAUUUCAUUAUAAUUGGGGAGGGCUUAUCUGUUUUACACUCUGAGUACCUAAAGAUUAGAGCCAUGUCUAUUCACCCUUUGAACUUCAUGCCUACGCAGCAUACAUAGCAUGUGCUUAGUACGUACCUGUUCAUAAUAACUGACCUCUAUAUCCUAGACACCAGCCUAAUGGUUUCCUAACCCAUGCCACCCUUCAUGCCUAAGAGACAAUUUAGUGUAGAAGUUUGGAGCACGAGCUCUGCAGCCGAGGCUCGAGUCCCAGCUCUACAACUUCCUGGCUGUAUGGCCGUAAAUGAAUUCACUAAGACGCUCUGCGCCUCCGUUUGUUCCUCAUCUGCAGAUAGUGAGUCUUUUAUAAAUAUGUGCUAUUAUUAUCCCCAUUUCACGAAUCAACAACUGAGGCUUAGUUGAGGAAGGUGCCCAAGGUCACACAGCUAAUCAGCGAAGGGGCUAGGACUCGGACCGGGGCAGUCUGACUCUAGGACCCAUGCCCUCAACCUUUCUGGAAGAAAAGAGAAAUGAGGGUAUGCGGGACACAUCUGGUGUGCGGAGAACAGAAUGGAGAUCCAUGGGGCCGACAGCCGCCAUCCUGCUCCGAGGAGGCUGGCCUGGAGCGGGGGGCAGGCGGAGGGGGCACCAGGGAUGCUCUGACAGGGACAGGUGGGGGACACGUGGUGAAAGAAGAAAUGCAGAACUUCUCCUUUUCCUCCUUUCUGCUCUGUUUCCACCACCUUGGCCUUCCACGAUGUCCCCUCAGUUCACCUUUCCUACCAGUUCCCUGCUCCAACAGUGCUCAUUCCUGGAAGCCUCUCUGCACCUCCUCAUGCUUGGUCUCUGCUCAUGCCCUUCUCUCUAUUCCUGCCUCUCUAAAUAUCACCAAGUUUCCAGGCCACAAAGGGUGGCACUUUCCCGGCCCCUAGAGAUGAUCACUCUCAGCUAGGAACCUCUCCAAUGACACUUGGACUUUCUAGGUUACCCCCCAGAGGGUAUGCUUCUUGAGGGCGGCAUAAGACCAUGAUAACUUGUCUUUGUAACUUCACCGUAUGAGACUUGAUACCUGGUCUGGUGGAUAUAUGGAGACACGAAUGAAUGAAGGAUUCAUACCAGGAUGGACUAACAAAUGAAUGAAUGAAUCAAUAAGCCCAUGAACAAAUAUAAGCACCAAUUAUAAAAAUCAAAUUAUAAGCACCAAAUUAUAAACAACCGAAUGCAGGUCCACUCAUGAAUGCAGCUUCCCAAGGUCAGCCAACCCCUCCUGACUCACCCCCGGGUACGGGGCACUGUGGCCCUGUUGUUGUUGCUGCCCCAGGGGAAUGGUCUUUAUCCAACCGACCAGUCUAUGCAGAUGCCCAGAGCAGCACGGCGGCUCAGGAUCCAGCAAAGCUUGGAGCCUUCCUGUCUCACACAUCACCACCUUGCCAGGAUUGCAUGAACGAACACGUGAACUCUAUACAGAAAGGAAACCUUUAAAAUUCAAUGUAAGUGUAGGAGACUCUUUUUUUCCCUCAGUCAGAGAUUUAACAUGUACUAUUAUCCACCAUCUCUAUCUCUCUGUCUCUUUCUCUCUCUCCACACACGCCCACACUCAUCCACUCACCUACUCACUUGUCCUAGGAAGCUGUGAGUGACAAGACACUCUUCUGUCCUUCCCAAGGGAACCAGACACUUGGCAUAUGACGAAAAGUCAGAGAGAACAUUUUCAGAUCUCAUGUGUCAGGGAAGACAAGAUGGCCAAGUCUCAGAUGGUUAGAAGAAUAGAGAGAUGGCUGAGAAGAUGCCCUCCAUGAGGUCCACUGGAAACCCAAAUUCUGUUUUACAACAUGAGGCUCCAAUGGCUUCUUGUCUGCUCAGAUCUAUACAACACCUGAGGUGGAGAGGUGGAGGCCCAUCUCAGAUCUAGUGCCUGUGGAUGGAGCGAAGCUGGCUCUGAUCUUUCUUAAUGUGCGUAGCUGUUGAUGAGGGUGUCCUGGAGGAGGGCUUGUGUGGUUGGGCUUGGCCAAACCUUAUACCCUUCAGUAGGAUUCCUCUCCUUAUGUCAAGGUGACCUGGGAACUUCAACAUGGGGACCCUUCGUAACCCCAGGAGCAGAUGCCAGGGAAGAUAUCAAGAGUGGGAAAUUCGUACACAAUUCGUACAGCCCCUGAGAACCUACAAGCUUGUGUCAAUAACCACGAGUGCCAACAUCAGAGCCAGAAGUGCAGUUGGGCACCAGAAUGCAGAAACUAGAGCUUGGUUAGAAGGCAAUGCCAGGGCCUCUGCCAAAAGGAGCUCAUUCUUAGGGUCCCCUUCAGGAGCAGGGAUGUCCUAGAGGCCCCCCUUCCCCUCUUAUACAAGGAUUCCCUGAGUCCUCAUCCCAAACCACACUAAAGGCAGGCCCCACCUUCUACUCAGACAACGGCGAAGGUGUUCUUAUUCCAGAUCCUGACAGCCUCUUCUUGGGCCCUGAUGAUUCCCACCACAAAGCUCACCUUCCCAAGUUUAUGCACCAUAGAUGAUUCAAAGAGAAUUUGGGAUUAACUGAUGCUCCACUCCCUCUCGUCUUGCUCUGCUGGUAACUGGAAGCAAGGGGAGCAGAAGUUAAGGGGAUGGAGCCCAGAAACCAGGGCCUAUAAGGCAGAGGCCCAGCUCUUAAAUAAAAUCAGUCUCCAUGUGGUAAGGUUAUACUCGGGCCCUGGGCAUCCAGGGGCCUCAGUGGGACCACCUGAACAAGUAGAAGUUUGGAGUGAAUGAACGGGAAUGGGUGGGUAAAGAGUCAUCCCUGCCAUGUUACUCCAUCCCCUUGCCCUCAUCACUUUUCCCCUCCUCAGGUAGACAAGUUGAUGUUGACCCUAUAGGGAACUUUACGGGACCUGGCUUGUCCUAGACAUCUCGAUCCCAGGUGGGAGAUCUGUUUCAGUUAUUUCUUAGGCCCCAUUUCUCAUCCCUGAUUUCCUAUCCCACCCGCUUUCCUUAACUGAAUAAACCCACAGUUGUCAUGGAGACAACAUAGUAUCCUCAUCUCUGCUGCUUUAUAGAUCCUCCCAUAAAACAAAACUAGAAAGGGCCCUAUGUCUACCUCCCUUGUAUUUCUGGCCCAGAACUCCUGUCUAAGAAAAUAUGUUAUGGUGCUUGGAAUAUCUACUUUGUCCAUUCGGUUUCCUACCCUCUUUGUGCUUUUCCUUUGCCCAAGUUUUACCUGAAUCCUUAGGAGACGAAGCUUGAUUUGACUUCUUUCAGCAGAGCAUCUUGAGUUUUAGUGCACUUUGGCCUCAAGGAGGGAUUAUGUCAUCGCGAAGGACAAUAGUUGGAGUGGCUGUACCACUCUUCAUGCAAAGGGCAGACAUACUUCUCCUCCUAGGACAGAUUAGCAGUCCCAGCCCAAAGAGCCUAGGUGGCUUGCCCAAGGUCACUCAGUACAGGAGUGCAGAGCCUGGGUGAGGGCCCUUUGCAGCUUUCCCGUGCAAACACUGCCACCUCCAGUGGGGUCUGCAGAUAAAGACUGAGCACGGUAAUAACUACCACUAUUGAGCACCAACUGUGUGCAUGGCUCUUGGUGUGCAGUUGUCAGUGAAGCCCCCAAACAACCUUGUGAAGUUGACAUCAUUAUCGUCACCAUCUCACAGAGAAGGAAACUGAGGUAGGGAGAGCUGACAACUUAAUGCCAUACAGCUUAUCAGCUGUCCCCUUCAGCGUUCACCUUCAGUACAAAAUAUGGCCUCUCGCUGAAAAAAAGGGGUCCAGGAGAGGCCACUGCUCUAGUGCUCAUCAAAAGGAUAAAUUUCACUGGUCGGGGCCAGAAAUUUCUCUUCCCACCGCCCUCUGCCCUUUGACUCCUGCAUAACCCUCAGCUGGGUUUUAUGAAUGAGGAGGAAAAACUGUCAUUGAAAAGUUCAACCAACUUUGGAUUCCACUCUCUGAGUGAUAGAUAGCUUUAAUUACUCCAAAUUACUCAGCUACUCCACUCUUCUCCCCCAAGUCAUUAAAAAUAGAUUUUCUCUUUGAACUCCACUCUGCCCUGGGUCCCCAGAUAGUCAGGAGUUCUUCGGAGGCAGCCCCAGGGUCAGCUUCUGGUCAGAAGGUUGCAUGUUGCUUUGGUUGCAGUCACAGACUCCAGAACCUCCAGCUGGUUUUCUGGGGGUCAGUGCCUCCUUUUUCUUAAUGAUAUUGAUCAUGUGACUUUUCACAGCUCUGAGGACAGGCAGGAGGCUGGGCCGGUGUUUACUUUAUGAGGAUUUAAGGAGGUCUCACAGAUGGCUAUUGAUUUUUGAAGAACUGAAUCUAACGCUGGGAACAAGCCAUAGUGAGUUCUUCACGUUAAUUACUGGGAGGUUGAUUCAUAGGAAUGACCGAAGCAGAAAAUGUGAGCUCAGGGAUGCUCUGCUCCCUGAUGAGCAGGUACUGUUGUGUCCACAAGAAAGGUAAGAAACUGGAGGCUUAAGAGGUGAACUGGGCUGCCCUAAGCCACACAGCUAACUCCUGGCCAGACCAGGACAGAAAGCACCUUCCACCUCUGUGCUGAGGGCUCUGUGACAUUCCUGGGAGGCUCGGGAUGGGAACUGUGCAACCUGCUCAGAGCCUCUCCUGCUAUUGGUCUGGGUCCUGGCCAGCUUGAAAAAGAACCGAGCAGGGGCUCUUCCACCUUCACCAGCCUCUCUCCUUCUCGGCACUCUGACAUCACCCCUUUUGUUGCGUCUAACUCUGGAUUCACCAUCUGAAUCGUUGCUAGCGAACAGGAGAGUAAAAUGAGCUAAGAGGCAUGCAGCGGUCAGAUGGGUGAUAGUACAGAUCUUCCUGGACUUAGGAUAGGGUGACGUCCCCAUAAACCCAUCGUAAGUUGGAAUGCAUUUCAUACACCUGGCCUACCGAACAUCAUAGUUGAGCCUAGCCUACCUUAAACAUGCUCAAAACACUAAACAUCAGCCUACAGUUGGGCCAAAAUCAUCGAACACAAAGCCUAUUUGAUCAAAAAGUGCCACCUGGCUCACAUAAUGGAUUGAAUACUGUACCGAAAGUGAAAAACAGCAUGGUUGUGUGGGCACAGAAUGGUGUUAAGUCUGCGGGUGGUUCACCCCUGGGAUCACGUGGCUGUGGUCACUGCCACCACCACCCAGCGCCACGUCCUGCUAGCCUGGGAGAGGAUCCAGAUUCAGAAUUCAAAGUACGGUUUCUGCUGCGUGCGUAUCUCUUUCACGCCAUCUUAAAGCCGAAAAAUCUGAAGUCAAACCAUCCUAGGUGUGUGACUGCAGUGUCCGAGAGCGUGCCUAGGCACUGCAGCCCGUGCCUGAUUUCCAGGAGAAAGAAGGGCGGCCCCGGCAGCCAGCCCUUGCAGCAGCCUCAAGGGGGGGGCCUUCCGUCUCCAGGGUGGCCUGUCUCCACCUUACCCCCUCAGCCCGGGAGCCAAACAAACCUGGACUCCAGGUCGGUGCCUGCCACACCUGCCAGGCAUGUGACCUUGGGUGGGUUAUGCUACCUGCGACUGUUUUCUAAUAAGUAAAGCGAGCCUAAGAAUACCGUGCCUGCGAAGUUGGCACAGGAUUAAAUGAGAUAAUAUACACCGUGUGCCUGGCAUGCAGUAGGUAGAAAGCUAUCAUUAUUAUUAUUCCUGCUGCCUCAUGCUGUUCCCCAAGCUCAGCCAACUGCUCAGCCCAGAGCCAGGUGGAGCCAGCCAGGAGCAGGAGACCUCAGGCCCUGUCGCCUCCUCACCCCUCUGUCCUUGGGGAGCAGAUCCACGGAGGGGAUCUCAUUGCUGCCCCAUACCUCUGGCCCCUCCCACUCCCAGCAGAGAGGUUUAGAUGAAGAUGCGGCUUCAGGCAUCCAGUAGACAGUUAGCUCUUUGCCCGAAAGGGCAUGAGGGAGAAGCUGGUUUUUCCCAUGGAAACUUGCUGAACCAUAGGCGAUGUAGCAUGAAGCAUGUCAGGAGCUGGUGCAGCCUGUCCUGUCCCUGGAGGGUCCACUGGGGCUUGGGCUGGGCACUGGGCUAGGCCUCUCCGAUCAGCUGCCUGUGUCCCUUUCCUGGUGAGGACUCUGAACCCUGGCCACAUCAGGUGUGAAGGGAAGGACAGAGCCCCAAGCCCUCGGGCCUCUCGAGGCUGAUUGCACCCAUUACCACGGGGCUGACGGGAUUUGGGGAAAGCCUGUGAAGAGAGACUCCACCCACCUAUCCAUCGCCCCAUGAACAACUACUGGGUGCCAGCAAGCUACACAGAACUGUGGGGAUAGAGAAGCAAAAGGCUUACCUGCCCUCAGAUUCCUUCCUGCCUCCUGAACCUGGCUCUGGGCUCACCUCAAACCUUGUCUACUGAAACUGUCCCCUGAACCUCCUGUCCGUCCUCAUCCUCCGGAAGCUCCUUUACAGUAUGUCACCAGCAUGGGCCAUGGAGGAGCCACUUUGCCGCUCACUCUGAGAUGGAGCCAGGGCUAAGCCAGCCCUUUGGGGACCUCUCUUUCCUAGUGGAUCAAAUGGAAAUCAUAAUACCUAACAGUGGCCGCCCUGUCUUCCUCCCUGGGGAGUUGUGCAGGUCAAAGGAGAUAAAGUGUGUGAAAGCACUCGGAAAAGCUCAAACUCUCCCCUGGUACGUGGUGUCAGUGCCACGGAUGGCUGUCCGCGUGCCAGGCCUGGCCGCGGCUCUCUUCAGCCUGCCCUCCACCGUGGAUGAACAAGAGCGUCAGCACUUUGCUGGAAAACAGGCUUGAAUUGGAGCAAAAGGAGAAAGUGGGUCUGAGACCUUCCUCACUGGAAGGGGAGAGGGGCCAGCUGGUGGGACCACCUAAAGAAGGUACAAAGGGAAGGAGCAAGCUCGGGGAGACAGUUGGGCUUCAGCUGCUGUGUGCUUUGCCCCAGGCCCCGAGGACCAGGAGGCUGUUGAUCGGACCAACUGCCUGCCCCCAGCCAGGCUGUGUGUGCCACCUGGCUCCUGGCCACUGAGAAGGCCUCUGUUUCUUUCCUUGUGUCAGGAGGCCGGGGACACGUGUGGGGACAGGUGUACCAUCUGGCGGGGGGGCGGCAGAUUCCAGGGAAGCAGGGCAUUAAAUGCUCAUUCUCUGAGGGGCCCCGGCAGCCUGGAGAGCAGCUUUCCCUGAUUGCUUCCUGGUCUCUGCGUCUCUCUCUUGCACGAUGGCAGGGGAAUCCCGCAGAGCCUCGGGACCACUGAGCGCCAUGCUCCCCCGAGGCGAACCUCUGCUCUGCGUCCUUUGAGCCAUGACUGUCUCUUGAUUCUACCUCUUUUGUGACAUCUAUCCCAUUGUGUUGAGAUUAUCUGUUUCCUUGGUUUUGUCCUCAAACAAACCAAGAACUCCAGGAAGGCAGAGAAUAUAGCCCCAGAGCGUAGCACAACAUAAAUGCUCAGUAAAUGUUUAAGGACUGUGGGGGACCCAGGCACAGUCCAUGGUCAGAAGCCUAUGUGUUCUGCUGCUUCACCUCAGAUUUUUCUCCAGUAGACCUAUCUGGGUUCUCAGAACCACGUAGCUCCUUUCAGGUGUCCACACAGGGCGGCAGAGACGUGGUAUUGAUUCUCUGUGCCCAAGCCCACUUGGCAAAGAGCUCUGGGUCCUCUGCCUACCACUGGAUGACUCUGAAGAGUGGUGAUGUGUUUGUACCUGAGGUACUCACUGUCCAGGGCCUCAGGGGCCUUCCUGGCCUUACCGCAGGUGGUCCAAACCCCAACAGUCUGCCAUGUUCUUCAAGAUCUGGAGGAAUGAGGCUGGUCCCAGCCAUUCCCUCAGUGACUUGCCGCCAUAGCCAAUAAUAAUCUGAUGUCAUGUCCCUGGCCGUGCAGAGCCUCCCACCCUGUGGGCUACGUGUUGUGCUAAGAAGAGGGAGAGUGAGGGGAACCACCCUAAACUCUGCACAGCCCCCCGAUCCCUUCCCACAUAGAGCUCCAAUCCUGCUGAAUCAGGCCAAGGAAGCCACUAGAGAUGCAGGGCCCCAAGGCCAGAGGAGCCAAGAACACAGUGUGAGUCACCUUUAAUUAAGAGCAUUUCUUAAGUAAAUGACUUAAUAAGACAGUUAUAUUCAUUAGAGGUAUAAUUACAAGACCUAAGAUCAAGCAGAAAAGAAUGUGGAGCGUGAGGGUGGAAUCUAUGGUCCCGGGGAGAAGGCGGUGGAGGGGUCAGGGGAAGGGCGUCCUCUGACUGGUAGGCUUCUCAUUGCUACGCUCAUUUCCCAGCCUCGCUACCCUUGGAUCCCAGCACUCAGCCAAGGGGGUGGGGGAGCCUCAGGCAUAAUUAAAAUGCAAUCAUAAUAAACAAACACUAAUUAAAGCGUCACAGAAUGUCCCAUUAAACUCUGAGUCAGCCCUGACAAAGUGCCGCCUUGACUCAGUGGAUGCUCUGCAGGAGAAAGCUCGAGCUCCUUCUUGAGCUUCUUGAGACCACUCCCAUCCCUACCCCGUCCUGCCCCACCCCACCCAGUCCCAGAGCAGGUGCCCGCCUGUCACUGGGGAUGCCGGAUGAAGCCUCCAGAUUUCCGAGAUUCGAACUUGGUCCGUUAGGGCCUCCAUAGACUCAGAGUUAUCAGGGCCAAUUUCUCCCUGGACAUAAAGCAGUCCCCAGAAUGCCCCCUUCUCCUGCUCCCCUAAAGCAGUCUCGUUCCUUCCAUAGCCCCAAAGCCAAGUUUUAUUCCAUUUCUUCCUGGCCUGGGGACCUGACAUUUAAAAAGACUCUCCCAAGGAGUGAGGUUAUCUGCAUCAGUGGUUCCCAAUCUUUCAGUCCUAAGAAUAGCUGGAGAGCUUGUUAGAACUAUCGCUCAGGCCCCAUCCCAGAGUUUCUGACUCAGUGGGCUCUGGGUUUUCUUGUCUCGUAAGCUCACAGGUCAUGCCAACAGUGCUGGGUCCAGACCAUGCAUGGAGAGCCGUUGCUCCUUCAGAGCUCCUGGGCCCCCUCUUUCUGGAGGACGUUCUUCUGGCCACGCAGUGGCAGUCUGGAGAGCAAAGCCACUUCAUACGUCCCCAGUCCCGUGGUCUUCCCUGUCCUUCCCAGCCUAAGCCAAACCUGUCUCUCCAGGUUUAUACCCACCGCUCCCUCGCUCUCACGCAAGGUUUGCUGAAGAAACUCUGCUCUCCCCUUCGUGCGGUGACUCUUUCCACCUGGAGCGCUCUCCAUCCAUGUCAAUGAUUCACCCUUCAAGACCCAGGCCCCUGCCUUGUUUUCUCACAGAACCUGCUUGGGACUCCCAUCUAGAGCAGCACUGGCCCAGAGAAACAAAGUGCAAGCUGCAAAUGCAAGCUCCCUGUAUACUUGCAACUUUUCUGGCAGCUAGAAAACUAGAAGUCAGAGGGAAGAAGUAGAAUUAAUAAUAGAUUUUAUUUAAC